rnacentral:rRNA from 1 species
UACGUAGGGUGCGAGCGUUAAUCGGAAUUACUGGGCGUAAAGUGUGCGCAGGCGGCCGAGCAAGUCGAGUGUGAAAUCCCCGAGCUUAACUUGGGAAUUGCGCUCGAAACUACUUGGCUGGAGUGUGGCAGAGGGGGGUGGAAUUCCACGUGUAGCGGUGAAAUGCGUAGAGAUGUGGAGGAACACCGAUGGCGAAGGCAGCCCCCUGGGUCAAGAUUGACGCUCAUGCACGAAAGCGUGGGGAUCAAACAGG